UUAUUAUACGACCGCAAAAAAAUUUUUGUGGUCGUAUAUUGGUAUGACGUCGUCGUCGUCGUCUGGCGUCGUCCGGCGUCGUCCGAAGACACAUUGGUUUUCGCACUUUAACUUUAGUUUAAGUGAAUGGAUCUCUAUGAAAUUUUACCACAAGGUUCAAUACCACAAAAGGAAGGUUGGGAUUGAUUUUGGGGGUUAUGGUACCAACAGUAAAGGAAAAAGGGGCCAAAAAUAAGCAUUUUUGUAACUUCCAGACAUAACUUGUGUGUUAGUGUAUGGAUCUCUCUGACAUUGUACCACAAGGUUCCAUAUCACAAAAGGAAUGCUGGGAUUGAUUUUGGGGGGUAAUUGCCUCAAAAUAUUAGGAAUUAGGGGCCAAAAAAGGGGCAAAAAAACAAGCAUUUUUCUAGUUUCAUGACAAUAACUUGUGUGUAAGUGCAUGGAUCUUUCUGAAAUUGUACUACAAGGUUCCAUAUCACAAAGGGAAAGCUGGAAUUGAGUUUAGGGGUAAUUGCCCUAAAUGUUUAGGAAUUUGGGGCCAAAAAGGGGCCAAAAAACAAGCAUUUUUCUAGUUUCCAGACAAUAACUUGUGUUCAAGUGUAUGAAUCUCUCUGAAAUUGUACUGCAAGGUACCAUACCACAAAGGGAAAGCUGGGAUUGAGUUUGGGGGCGAUGAAUCAUAAGGGGGUUCAAAAAAUUGGGGGGGGGGAUUUUUUUUUUCCUUUUUUUUCUUUAACAUUUUCCAUUUUAAAUUGGUUAUUUCUGAUUUAUAUAUAAAAGCAAAUAAUAAUGAUAUGGUUUGAAUAGGCAUACAUGUGAACCUCCCGACGGGAGUACAAUAAUCCCGUUUUCAGGGGUCUCCUCCCCCCCUCCCGUUGAAAAAAUCCCGUGUAUGAAAUUUUUCAUGAAUGAAAAAUUUCUGCCCAACAUAACAUCUCAGGCAUCUGGUGUAACUGACAUUACCUGAAGUUAUAUUUUACCUGUAAAUCAAUAAACAUGCAUAAUUAUAUGGCUUCACUUGUCAGCUUGGGUGUCAAACAUACUGGUAAGCAACGAUUUUUACCUCAGGCUAACUGCCGUUGUGUAACAAAAACUCUGUAUUUAUUGGGUUACUUCCCUUGAUUUAUCCUGUUUUAAGUUACUUUCCUUUUAAUAAUGAAAAUUUUUAAAAGAAUAUAAAUAAAAUAUAAAUUGAACAAAUAAUCAUAAAAGGAUGGUUAUUAAAUGAUUUUAAAUGUCUUAGGACAAAUAAAAAAAUAAUAAUUUGAAAAUUAUUUGAGGAUUCUAUACUUCCUUUUAAGGCUUAAAUUGAAAUUUAUAUAAUAACUAUGACCCUAACUUUCAAGAUAGAAUGAAUUUCUGAGUUUGCAAAUAAA